GCCUAGAUAGCUCAGCUGGCUAGAGCAUACGGUUCAUACCCGUACGGUCGGUGGUUCGAGUCCACUUCUAGGCACCA
rnacentral:tRNA from 1 species